rnacentral:rRNA from 1 species
GCCUUCAUGAAUAAAACAUUCUUUCUUUUCUGAUCUCAGAAGCUAAGCAGGGUUUGCCUGGUUAGUACGUGGAUGGGAGACCACCUAGGAAGACCAGCUGCUGUAGGCA